CAUUGAGAAGGCAUGUGCGGACG
rnacentral:piRNA from 1 species